GAUCCUAGGUCAAUUAGACAAUCCAGAUCUGGUCAAACAGCACUACAGAUGCUGAUGGAGAGGGGGAAGCCAGCCUGGACAACACCCUCUGGAGGCAUGUUUUAGCUUCCUAUUUCUAUACUAAUAUAAUGGAAUUAUCUGCUUCAAUAAACCUCAAUUUCACAACGCCAAAUAUAUCCUUUUCACCACUUCAAAGCCUUUGAACUGCAUACCAGAGGACCUUUUUUUAUUUGUUUGUUUCACCACCAGUAAAAAU